rnacentral:rRNA from 1 species
AGUGAACGCUGGCGGUAGGCCUAACACAUGCAAGUCGAACGGCAGCACCGUAAGUGCUUGCUCUUACGGGUGGCGAGUGGCGGACGGGUGAGGAAUACAUCGGAAUCUACUUUUUCGUGGGGGAUAACGUAGGGAAACUUACGCUAAUACCGCAUACGACCUACGGGUGAAGGCAGGGGAUCUUCGGACCUUGCGCGAUUGAAUGAGCCGAUGUCGGAUUAGCUAGUUGGCUGGGUAAAGACCCAGCCAGGCGACGAUCCGUAGCUGGUCUGAGAGGAUGGUAGGCCACACGGGAACGGAGACACGGUCCAGACGCCUACGAGAGGGAGCAGUCGGGAAUAUUGGACAAUGGGGGCAAGCCUGAUCCAGCGAUACCGCGUGGGAGAAGAAGGCCUUGGGGGCGUAAAGCCGUUUUGUUGGGAAAGAAAAGCAGCAGGUUAAUACCCCGCGGUUCUGACGGUACCCAAAGAAGAAGCACCGGCUAACUUCGUG